rnacentral:rRNA from 1 species
UACGAAGGGGGCUAGCGUUGUUCGGAAUCACUGGGCGUAAAGCGCACGUAGGCGGACUUUUAAGUCAGGGGUGAAAUCCUGGAGCUCAACUCCAGAACUGCCUUUGAUACUGGGAGUCUCGAGUUCGGAAGAGGUUGGUGGAACUGCGAGUGUAGAGGUGAAAUUCGUAGAUAUUCGCAAGAACACCAGUGGCGAAGGCGGCCAACUGGUCCGAUACUGACGCUGAGGUGCGAAAGCGUGGGGAGCAAACAGG